AACGAACGCUGGCGGCAUGCCUAACACAUGCGAGUCGAACGAGACCUUCGGGUCUAGUGGCGCACGGGUGCGUAACGCGUGGGAACCUGCCCUUAGGUUCGGAAUAACUCCCCGAAAGGGGUGCUAAUACCGGAUAAUGUCUUCGGACCAAAGAUUUAUCGCCUUUGGAUGGGCCCGCGUUGGAUUAGCUAGUUGGUAGGGUAAAAGCCUACCAAGGCGACGAUCCAUAGCUGGUCUGAGAGGAUGAUCAGCCACACUGGGACUGAGACACGGCCCAGACUCCUACGGGAGGCAGCAGUGGGGAAUAUUGGACAAUGGGCGAAAGCCUGAUCCAGCAAUGCCGCGUGAGUGAUGAAGGCCUUAGGGUUGUAAAGCUCUUCUACCCGGGAUGAUAAUGACAGUACCGGGAGAAUAAGCUCCGGCUAACUCCGUG
rnacentral:rRNA from 1 species